GACGAACGCUGGCGGCGUGCCUAAUACAUGCAAGUUGAGCGAUGAAGCUUGGUGCUUGCACCAAUUUGAAGAGCAGCGAACGGGUGAGUAACGCGUGGGGAAUCUGCCUUUGAGCGGGGGACAACAUUUGGAAACGAAUGCUAAUACCGCAUAAUAACUUUAAACAUAAGUUUUAAGUUUGAAAGAUGCAAUUGCAUCACUCAAAGAUGAUCCCGCGUUGUAUUAGCUAGUUGGUGAGGUAAAGGCUCACCGAGGCGAUGAUACAUAGCCGACCUGAGAGGGUGAUCGGCCACAUUGGGACUGAGACACGGCCCAAACUCCUACGGGAGGCAGCAGUAGGGAAUCUUCGGCAAUGGACGAAAGUCUGACCGAGCAACGCCGCGUGAGUGAAGAAGGGUUUCGGAUCGUAAAACUCUGUUGGUAGAGAAGAACGUUGGUGAGAGUGGAAAGCUCAUCAAGUGACGGUAACUACCCAGAAAGGGACGGCUAACUACGUG
rnacentral:rRNA from 1 species